rnacentral:rRNA from 1 species
CCUACGGGUGGCAGCAGUGGGGAAUAUUGCACAAUGGGGGAAACCCUGAUGCAGCGACGCCGCGUGAGCGAUGAAGUAUUUCGGAAUGUAAAGUUCUAUUAGAAGGGAAGAAAAUGACGGUACCUGAGUAAUAAGCUCCGGCUAAAUACGUGCCAGCAGCCGCGGUAAUACGUAUGGAGCAAGCGUUAUCCGGAUUUACUGGGGGAAAAGGCAGCGUAGGCGGUCUGGCAAGUCCGAUGUGAAAUCCCGGGGCUCAACCCCGGGGCUGCAUUGGAAACUGGCAGGCUGGAGUGCGAGAGAGGCAGGCGGAAUUCCAGGUGUAGCGGUGAAAUGCGUAGAUAUAAGGAGGAACACCAGAGGCGAAGGCGGCCUGCUGG